GACGAACGCUGGCGGCGUGCCUAAUACAUGCAAGUCGAGCGGACCAAUAGAAGCUUGCUUCUAUUGGUUAGCGGCGGACGGGUGAGUAACACGUGGGCAACCUGCCUGUAAGACUGGGAUAACUUCGGGAAACCGGAGCUAAUAUCGGAUAAUUCAUCCCCUCGCAUGAGGGGGUGCUGAAAGUCGGUUCACGCUGACACUUACAGAUGGGCCUGCGGCGCAUUAGCUAGUUGGUGAGGUAAUGGCUCACCAAGGCGACGAUGCGUAGCCGACCUGAGAGGGUGAUCGGCCACACUGGGACUGAGACACGGCCCAGACUCCUACGGGAGGCAGCAGUAGGGAAUCUUCCACAAUGGACGAAAGUCUGAUGGAGCAACGCCGCGUGAGCGAUGAAGGCCUUAGGGUCGUAAAGCUCUGUUGUUAGGGAAGAACAAGUACCGGAGUAACUGCCGGUACCUUGACGGUACCUAACCAGAAAGCCACGGCUAACUACGUGCCAGCAGCCGCCGUAA
rnacentral:rRNA from 1 species